UACGGGGGGAGCAAGCGUUGUUCGGAUUUACUGGGCGUAAAGGGCGCGUAGGCGGCGCAACAAGUCACUUGUGAAAUCUCCGGGCUUAACUCGGAGCGGCCAAGUGAUACUGUCGUGCUAGAGUGCGGAAGGGGCAACUGGAAUUCUCGGUGUAGCGGUGAAAUGCGUAGAUAUCGAGAGGAACACCUGCGGCGAAGGCGGGUUGCUGGGCCGACACUGACGCUGAGGCGCGCAAGCGUGGGGAGCGUACAGG
rnacentral:rRNA from 1 species